UGUAUCCUAGGCAACCUCUUUCUAUCACCCUUCCUCCACCUUCCAGCAAACCUGUCCACCUCUACCUUGCCCCAAGGCCACUCCUCUUCUCAUUCUCUCCUCUUUAAUCAAAACUCUUUCCUUCAGGACUGCGAUGUUCUAUACAUGCUCAGAGAAAGGUAUCAUCAGUUUCCUCAUCAGCCAACUGAAAGAGUGAAUGAAAAGCUCCUCAAUGCACUAGAUACCCAAGAGGUCUUGAUAAACCUUCCUGAUUUCCCCCACUUGUCUCUAAAAGAAGUUCAAAGUGGAGACUUGAACCUUGAAACUUACCCAUGUAUCACGUUUGAUAUCCUGAAGAGAUACGGUCUUUUAAUAAAUAAAUAUGCCUUGCAUCAUCAAGUGCCUAGCAACUUUCAAAGCACUCAAGCAGUACACAAUGACAUACAUUUGAAGCAACUAAAAACAAGAGAGAACUUGAGAAAACUUCAACCCACUGGGAGGACCCAGAGCACCAGUCUCCCCUGUUGUCCUGGGAUAAUAAUCGACAGUGAUUUCUGCUGUCGUCUGUAGAGUCAUAGAGGGAAAAGGAGUCUCUCAAGUUAUCAGCCCGUCCCUCAUUUGGUGAGGACACAGCUGUUUCCUCAAGGUCAUGUUGAGCUGACAACAACUUAUCCAAUGCUGCAUGAUUUGGUGAUUCCUGAAGACAAGAGCAAGGGAGGUCAUGCAGAAUUGUGAGCUAAGCUGAGCUUGUAUCUCUUGCUCUCUCUACAUAAUAUACCUUUAACUGCUCAAACUA